CUUUUCUUUUUUUUGUUUUUUUUUGAGACUGGGUUGUCCACACUGUGAUGGAUGCUGUGGCUCCAUCACAACUCAUUGUAGCCUCAAACUCCAGGGCUCAAGCUAUCCUUCCACCUCAGCUGCCUGAGUAGCUGGGACUUGGGGUAUGUGCCACCACACUCUGUUAAUAAUAAUAAUAAAAAUAUAGAGAGACCUGGUCUUGCCAUGUUGCCCAGGUUGGUGACCUCCUGGCCCCAAGUGAUUCUCCUGCCUCGGCCUCCCAAAGUGCUGGGAUUACAGGCAUGAGCCACCAUGCCUGGCAGACAGGGACAGUAUUUCAUCCUAAAGAAGAGAGCCAAGGAAAGGGUUUUGGCAGGCUAAACAAACAAAGGGUUUGUUUAGGUUUUGAGGAUAAGCAUUUUCAAAAGGGAAAUUCUUUUUCUCUGACUUUUCCUAUAAGUAAAAUUCCUAUUGAUUUAAAAAAUCUACUCAUUAAUUCAGUAACUAUUUACUAAGCACUUACCAUGUGCCAGUGAAAGUUAUAGGAACUUAGGAUACAGUGAUGAACAAAACAGACAAACAUUCCUGAAAAGAUCCAGGAUCUUUUGUCCUAUUCAAGCCAGAAAGUACCUUCUCCAAGAUGUCUGCCUGAAAUCUCUCAAUCAUACUUGCUAUUUCCUUCUGCUUUUAUGGCACAUCGUACCAUGUUAAUGACAUUUAUCAUAGUCUGCUUCAAGUUGGAGCCACGCUUCAGAUGUUAAAUGUCUCCCUCACUACACCAAGGGGUUCUUGAGUUUAGUGUCUGCUAUCAAACUGUCUCCCAAGAACAGAAUUGGUUUGGAGCAAGUAGCAGUGGGUCUUGGUUGAAUGAGCAAAUUAUUCUGUCUACAGCCGGAAGGCAUUAGUCCUACAUGGUGGAGCUUUUAUUGCAGCUGCUGCCAGGCAUUCAUUUGGAGGAAUUGGGAGCCAAUCUGUCAUGGGCUUAGGUGAUCUGGGAGCUGUAUAGAAAUGACAUUCCCAGUGAGUGAUUAUCACUGAUAAGUGAUAACAAAGUUCGUUUGUAUGACUAUGGGCAUAAUAGGAAAUGAAGGUCUGGAUAAUUCUAUUAUGAAAUUCAAAUAGCUGUCCAGUUUAAUGAAUGUAAAUGGCUCUUUGAUGAAGAAGUGGAAUGAUGCUAAUGAAAAUGGUGACUGCAAGUAU
ensembl:lncRNA